rnacentral:rRNA from 1 species
UACGUAGGGGGCAAGCGUUGUCCGGAAUUAUUGGGCGUAAAGCGCGCGCAGGCGGUUCUUUAAGUCUGAUGUGAAAGCCCACGGCUCAACCGUGGAGGGUCAUUGGAAACUGGAGAACUUGGGUACAGAAGAGGAAAGCGGAAUUCCACGUGUAGCGGUGAAAUGCGUAGAGAUGUGGAGGAACACCAGUGGCGAAGGCGGCUUUCUGGUCUGUAACUGACGCUGAGGCGCGAAAGCGUGGGAGCAAACAGG